rfam:Talaromyces marneffei PM1 scf004, whole genome shotgun sequence.
AUAUCAAUCUCAUUAGCAAACUAUCGCCAAGCUUCUCUACGAGAAAUUUCACCAACUCACCCACAACCAAUCAAGAUGUCUCCCUGCUCCUGCAACUGCUGCCAAGGCGAGUGCAACUCUUGCUCCUGCAACAGCUGCAGCGUAAGUUCUU